AUGGCGCGCAGCAGGGCAGGGAGAAGCGCCUUUGCGGCAGUUUCACGUGCCGACCUUGCGGGCUCAGAAAACGAGACGCGGCAGCAGCAGAAGCAGCAGCCACUUCCGGAGGCACUUCCGAUAACAUUGGAAAGGACAUGGAAAACCCUCCCAACAGAAGAUGAUGACGAGCAGAAAACUGACGAAUCUGACACAGUUGAACUUGGAAGCUGCAUNCAUUAGUUGGAGCACCAACCUCUUCUCACAUCUGAAGCCCCAUGUAGGGCCAGAAUUUGCCAAGCAACCUGCACUAAGGGACUUGUAAGGAAAUCUGCUUGCUUCUCAGCUGCUAAUCUUCAAUUGGAUCCUUGCUACAUCUCUUAAUGCUAGUAGUUUCUUCAGUAUUGCAGAGAAAAACANCAGAAAGUUGAACGAUUUACUACGGGUAACGUUCAGAAGCUGCACGUCUUCUAUCAAGGGGCACCCUAAGAGCAAGAGUAAGAAGUGGCACCAGNUGGAAUUUAGAAAAAAAGAAACUGCCUUUGGAAUAUGCUUUCUCAAGGAGGUGUUACAUGUAUCUUUUGUAUUUUUGUAGACAAGGCUCAGAUUCUGAACUUCUUCACACAAGGUGCAUUUCACCACAAGACUCUGUGGCUGUUUUAAGUGGCCUGCUGCAUAGUCCAGGCAAAGCAGAGCUACAAGAUAUCGUAGGCAUUUCUCUUGCAAAGGGAUGAUGAAAUCUUUGUUUAGCCCAAGCUGACGUACAAGAAUCUCCUGUGAAUGCUGUGUGGAUGCAUAGAAGAGUAACAAAUGACUCACAGAGAAGACACAAUCUUCUAAGGAGCUUUCCCUGUGAGACUAGAAAAUUCAGUCAAAAAUUACCUACCGGAGCACUAAUUUAUCCCAGAUCAUAUUUCUGCAUUUCCUAAGGUGAUACAUGUGGAGCAGCCUUCACCAAUCUAACAUCCUCUGGACCUUUUUUGAUUCAACUCCUGUAAGUGUUGACUGAGAUUGAGAGGAGUUGUAUUCUAUAACAUUGCUCCUCAGUGAUCAAAAGACAAUCAGUAAUUUUCAUUACUUGAGAAUUCACAGAUGUGCCGUUUGUUGUUUUUAACUUUGAAUUUCUUGAAAUUGUGUGGGUAUUGAUGAAAACAUCAGGCUUCUUGAAAGUGAUGAAGGAACACGUUUGCAAAAUCCUGCUCCAGAACAUCUGGAAAACACUAGGUUUCGUGAUGUCUAAGUUAGAGACUGGCGACAGACUGUCUCAAGGCACUGUACAUGAAUCCAUUGUUUACAUGGCCUAGCCCGCACUUACCAGGGAGAGGAAACUGGACACUUGCUUCUUACUCACCUGCCUGAUCAGAAGCUGCAAGAUGAGGGAGCAAAGCAUGGGUGCAUUGUGGUCUGAUAACAUCCUUUCAAACAUGGCUGAGCUGUGACCUUAAUUUUUUUUACCCCCUGCCUCUCCCAAGAGCCUGAUGGAUCAAUAGCUUAUCAUUCUCUUUCUUCCAUUUUGGAGAUUCCUUUAACUAAACUUUGUAUGAUGGAGUUCCCUCUUCCACUCUGCACAUAUUUAAACAAUUUCUUCCAAUUUUGGUGGGUGGGUUUUUGUUUGUUUGAUGGCUGUCCCAUAUAGAUUAAUCUUCUCUCUNUAAAGAACUCAAACAUUAAUUGUUCUCCCACAAAUUCAUACCAUUGUUUCAUUGAUCUUUCUUUUGNGGUUUUUCACCACCACUGCCCGUGCUGCCAAUAAUAAUUGUACCACUAAAUAUUUGACUUUGUUCUUAAAUCUUGUCUUUCAAAUUUCUUCAUUAAUAUCAUUUCUUUACACCAUACAAUAUAUCUGAUUAUUUUAUUUCCUGUCCAGUUUGUUCCAGCCAUCACCAUAUUGCUUUUUCCCUUCAAGCGACCAUUCUUGCUCUGCUCUAGCAAGCUGCACUUACCUUACUGGUACUUCAGUCUCCUUGCUGGCUUCACAGACCUUUUCAUAGUCGGCAAAGUGCCUUGGGUGUUUUAAUAAUGUAAAACCUUUUUAUGACAGCACAAGCAUUUGUGGGCUUAAGUGCACCAUUUUGAAGUGUAAAGGGCACUUGCAAAUAUCUCUGGAAAAGAUCAGGACUGGAUCUAAUGUGAGAGUGAGAAGGAAUGAGCCGGGUUGCCUUCCUCCUCCCAAAUCAGUUCCAGGCUUGCAUUUUGAUGUUUCCACUGGAUAAAAUUCAAUUCAGAGUUCCCUGUGGCAGAGAAGCUUCCUGAAGUAGCAUGAUGGAUGUCACCAACAAUGGCUUAAUGUGUUGCUUGGUUGGCUUCAGUGUUCUCAUCAUGAAAACCUGGAUAGUGUGAAUGCCUUCAUGUAAACCCAAUUCAAGGAAUUAACUUUAACUUAUAAGACCUAAAUGGGUGAGGCUCCAAAUAUCUAAAGGAACACCUUCUCCAAUACCAACUUGCUGAUGUCAAGACUGCAGGGGAGGCCCUUCUGGUUGUACCACCACCUUCAGUAGUUAAAGGGGUAAGGACCUUGGAUAGGGCCUUCCUGUUAACUGCCAGACUGCAGCCAGAUUAUGGAAUGGUCUUUCCCAUGUGGUACGGCAGACACAGUCACUGUAUAUGUUCAGGAAAUCAGUGAAGAUAAGCCUAUUUAUCCUGGUCUUUUUCUGAGGGAACAGCUUCCCCUCCCCAUUUUCAGGCACCAUUAUUGAUUUUGGUGUGUGCAUUUUAUAUUGUUUUUGUUGCUGUAACCCACCCUGAGGCCUUUGGGUACAGGGUAGGAUAAAAAUGCAAAUAAAUGAAUACUCGGAAGUGAAACCCA
ensembl:lncRNA